UGGAUUAGGCAUGCAAGUCGAACGAGAUCUGAGAUGUUCAAGUAGCAAUAUGAGAAUAUUUCAGUGAGAGUGGCGAAAGGGUGAGGAACACGUGAGUGACCUGCCCCCAAGUUUGGAAUAACCUUCCGAAAGGAGGGCUAAUGCCGAAUGUGGAUUUUUCCCUCAUGGGGAGAUAUCUAAAGAUUUAUCGCUUGGGGAUGGGCUCGCGUCCUAUCAGCUUGUUGGUGAGGUAAUGGCUUACCAAGGCUAUGACGGGUAGCUGGUCUGAGAGGAUGGUCAGCCACACUGGGACUGAGACACUGCCCAGACUCCUACGGGAGGCUGCAGUCGAGAAUCUUCCGCAAUGGGCGAAAGCCUGACGGAGCAAUGCCGCGUGAAGGAUGAAGGUCUUCGGAUUGUAAACUUCUGUCACUGGGGACGAAUAAAUGACGGUACCCGGAGAGGAAGUCACGGCUAACUACGUGCCAGCAGCCGCGGUAAUACGUAGGUGACUAGCGUUGUUCGGAAUUAUUGGGCGUAAAGGGUCCGCAGGGGGCCGGCUAAAUCUGAUGUGAAAGACCACGGCUCAACCUUGGAACUGCAUUGGAAACUGGUCGGGUAGAGAAUCGGAGAGGAGAUUGGAAUUCCUGGUGUAGCGGUGGAAUGCGUAUAUAUCAGGAGGAAC
rnacentral:rRNA from 1 species